GCAGCCGCGGUAAUACGUAGGUGGCAAGCGUUGUCCGGAAUUACUGGGUGUAAAGGGAGCGUAGGCGGCUAUGCAAGUUGAAUGUUAAAGUUCGGGGCUCAACCCCGUGAUGCGUUCAAAACUGUAUAGCUUGAGUGAAGUAGAGGCAAUCGGAAUUCCUAGUGUAGCGGUGAAAUGCGUAAAUAUUAGGAGGAACACCAGUGGCGAAGGCGGAUUGCUGGGCUUUAACUGACGCUGAGGCUCGAAAGCGUGGGUAGCAAACAGGAUUAGAUACCCC
rnacentral:rRNA from 1 species